rnacentral:piRNA from 1 species
CACAGACACAACCCCAAGGGUCCACAUGC